rnacentral:rRNA from 1 species
GACGAACGCUGGCGGCGUGCUUAACACAUGCAAGUCGAACGGAAAGGCCUGCUUUCCCUUGUGGAUUGCGGGUACUCGAGUGGCGAACGGGUGAGUAACACGUGAGUGAUCUGCCCCCAACUUGGGUAUAAGCCUGGGAAACUGGGUCUAAUUCCCGAUAGGACUGCAGGGUGGUGCCUGUGGUGGAAAACGAUUUUCUAGUGGUUGGGGAUGAGCUCGCGGCCUAUCAGCUUGUUGGUGGGGUAAUGGCCUACCAAGGCGGCGACGGGUAGCCGGCCUGAGAGGGUGGACGGCCACAUUGGGACUGAGAUACGGCCCAGACUCCUACGGAAGGCAGCAGUGGGGAAUAUUGCACAAUGGGCGGAAGCCUGAUGCAGCGACGCCGCGUGGGGGAUGACGGCCUUCGGGUUGUAAACUCCUUUCGACCGCGAGGAAGCCACCUGGUUGGAAGGGUGGUGACGGUAGUGGUAGAAGAAGCACCGGCUAACUACGU